UAAAAUGAAACAUAACAUUCCAGCAUGAAAAGUGAAUGAAACAAAUGAGGCUCCGAAUCAGGCGGAUUCACAAUACAGAAACAAAACUGGGAAACACGGAGUUCCAACACGCCGUGCUACGCCUCACCUGUGUAUUCCUGAAGAAGACGGGACAACUGUCACGCCUGUGAGCGUCUCACAGGACAUCGCCAGGGCUCAUAGGGCCCCUCCAGGGGAACCAGGCAGCCCUCAACAACAACAACAACAACAACCAGCGGCCAAUCAAUAUACCCACUCCUUUCUUUGAGUGAAACUUAGCCAUCACGUGACUCAAGCUCCUUUUAACCAUCUAUUAUUCUGGUAGAUAUUCCAAACAGAUUUUAGAUAAUGUCUCCGUGUGUACUACAGAUGAGCAUAACAUACCUAAGGGAGAAGUGGUGUUGGAGGUAUUGGCAGGGCGGUACUGGUCGUAGUUUUGGGCAUGAAGAGCAUUGUAAUUAUACCGAGGUGGAGGCUU
rnacentral:misc_RNA from 1 species